rnacentral:rRNA from 1 species
UACGUAGGGUGCGAGCGUUAAUCGGAAUUACUGGGCGUAAAGCGUGCGCAGGCGGUUUUGUAAGCCAGAUGUGAAAUCCCCGGGCUUAACCUGGGAAUGGCGAUGGAGACUGCGAGGCUAGAGUUUGGCAGAGGGGGGUAGAAUUCCACGUGUAGCAGUGAAAUGCGUAGAGAUGUGGAGGAACACCGAUGGCGAAGGCAGCCCCCUGGGUCAAAACUGACGCUCAUGCACGAAAGCGUGGGGAGCAAACAGG